GCCUCAGUAACGGCGAGUGAAGCGGCAACAGCUCAAAUUUGAAAUCUGGCACCCCUCCCGGGGGGGGCCCGAGUUGUAAUUUGCAGAGGAUGCCCUUGGCGAGGCGCCUUCCGAGUUCCCUGGAACGGGACGCCGCAGAGGGUGAGAGCCCCGUAGCGGUCGGUCGCCACAGCCUGUGUAGGGCUCCUUCGAAGAGUCGAGUAGUUUGGGAAUGCUGCUCAAAGCGGGAGGUAAAUCUCUUCUAAAGCUAAAUACCUGCCAGAGACCGAUAGCGCACAAGUAGCGUGAGCGAAAGAUGAAAAGCACUCUGGAGAGAGGGUCAAACAGUACGUGAAAUUGUUGAAAGGGAAGCGCUAGCGGCCAGACGUGGGCCGGCGGCUCCCCCGGCGUUCUUCGCCGGUCCGCUCCGCCCGGCCCAGGCCAGCAUCGGUUUCCGCGGGGGGAUAAGGGGUGGUGGGAACGUGGCUCCCCCUUCGGGGGGGGUGUUAUAGCCCGCCCCUCGAUGCCCCCGUGGGGACCGAGGAUGCCGCGCCCUCGUGCGAGGAUGCUGGCGUAAUGGCCGCUAACGACCCGUCUUGAAACACGGACCAAGGAGUCGUCCACUGGAGCGAGCGUUAGGGUGUAAAACCCGGUACGCGUAAUGAAAGUAACAGGUGAGAGCCUCGGCGCAUCAUCGACCGAUCCUGAAGUGCUCGGAUGGAUUUGAGUAGGAGUUCCAGCGGACGGACCCGAAAGACAGUGAACUAUGCCUGUAUAGGGUGAAGCCAGAGGAAACUCUGGUGGAGGCUCGCAGCGGUUCUGACGUGCAAAUCGAUCGUCAAAUAUGGGCAUGGGGGCGAAAGACUAAUCGAACUGU
rnacentral:rRNA from 1 species